GAUGAACGCUGGCGGCGUGCCUAAUACAUGCAAGUCGAGCGAACAGAUAAGGAGCUUGCUCCUUUGACGUUAGCGGCGGACGGGUUAGUAACACGUGGGUAACCUACCUAUAAGACUGGAAUAACUCCGGGAAACCGGGGCUAAUGCCGGAUAACAUUUAGAACCGCAUGGUUCUAAAGUGAAAGAUGGUUUUGCUAUCACUUAUAGAUGGACCCGCGCCGUAUUAGCUAGUUGGUAAGGUAACGGCUUACCAAGGCAACGAUACGUAGCCGACCUGAGAGGGUGAUCGGCCACACUGGAACUGAGACACGGUCCAGACUCCUACGGGAGGCAGCAGUAGGGAAUCUUCCGCAAUGGGCGAAAGCCUGACGGAGCAACGCCGCGUGAGUGAUGAAGGUCUUCGGAUCGUAAAACUCUGUUAUUAGGGAAGAACAAAUGUGUAAGUAACUGUGCACGUCUUGACGGUACCUAAUCAGAAAGCCACGGCUAACUACGUG
rnacentral:rRNA from 1 species